GCAGAACCCAUUACCCAUCUCCCGAUAGCCAUUCCGAUGGAAGGCCCUGACAAACGACUCCCUGCAAAGCCGGAUAAGCCCUCUGCAUCCAUCGGCUAAUGCCAGACACUGCCUCCCUAAGUGACUGACCCUCAAUAAAAACCUUGGACGCCGAAGCUCAGGUGAACUUUCCCAGCUGAACCUUGGACCCGGAGGCUCAGCUGUCGAGGAUGCCCUGAUGUCUGUUCUCACAUCACAUUGCGCUCCAAGUACCCCGGCUGCAACCAGAGCUCAGCAAACCGGGACCAGAGGGCACAUCCACCCUGCCUGCCCAUGUCAACAGAGUUGUGUGGGAGCCAGCCGGCCCCCAGGAAGACCCCAGAUCUUCCUGCCCCUGACCACAGCUCUGUCCCUGGAAGCAUAUGCUGCAGACACUUGCUCUGCUGCAGAUUUUCUGCACAACCCCUCCUCAUGGGGGAAGGUUUGGUACCUGAAUGAGGCCUCUUUUGACCUCUAUUCCUAUCACUAUUUUUGGUGACCUCAAUAUUUAUGAAGGUAAUAACUUGGUCUUUAAUCCAGACAAUUUUCACCUCCAGGAAUCUUGUCCUGCAUCUCACUU
rnacentral:lncRNA from 1 species